ACUCCUUUUAGUUUUGGCAUGAAUCAUAGGACACCACCCUACCCCGCUGGGGAUUAUUGUCUUCUGUGCAGAAGUGAACGGAAAGACCCUUCAUUCUUAGAGAGUGGAGUUAAGACUGCGAGCAAAUUGGCCCUUUCCAUGGCACCCAAGGGCAACAGCGUGCUGCACCUGCCGCUGUGGGUGUGCCCGGACUGCCGGAGAACUGUGGAGAAGGAGGAGAGGCAUGGCGGCCUUGACCAGCCGGGCCAAGAUUUUCUUCUUCACUCACCACUGGGGGGCUCUCAGCCUGAGGCUGGUGGCACAGGGAGGCUGGCUCUGGGCACACAGACACUGCCCUCUACAGGGUUGGGCGCCACGCCCUCGGAGGCUGCCUGCUCCUGCGAAGCCUGCAGUGAGCGCAGAGAAAUUUCGGCAGAGAUGGAUCGGGAACCUCAACAGCUGCAGAACUACUGGUCAGAAGUGCGCUACAUGGUCCGCUGCAUCUACCGCCAGGCGGGGACACCACUGGCAGACGACCAGGACCAGUCUCUGGUACCCGACAAGGAGGGAGUGAAGGAGCUCGUGGAUAGGCUCUGUGAGCGGGACCCCUACCAGCUAUACCAACGGUUGGAGCAGCAAGCCCGGGAGUAUGUGCUAGAGAUGAAGGUCCGCCUGCUUCGGCAGUUGUCAGCCGCAGCAAAGACAAAGGCGCCAUCUGGCCUGCAGGGCCCACCUCAGGCACACCACUUCAUUUCGCUUCUCCUCGAGGAGUAUGGCGCUCUCUGCCAGGCCGCACGCUCCAUCAGCACUUUCCUCAGCACUCUGGAAAAUGAACACUUGAAAAAAUUCCAGGUGACCUGGGAACUGCAUAAUAAACACCUGUUUGAAAAUCUGGUCUUUUCGGAGCCACUUCUCCAGAGCAACUUACCAGCAUUGGUGUCACAGAUCAGGCUGGGGACCACCACACAUGACACCUGCAAUGAAGACACAUAUAGCACCUUGCUGCAGAGGUUCCAGCGCUCUGAGGAGGAGCUGCGCAGAGUCGCGGAGCAGUGGCUGGAGUGCCAGAAGAGGAUUGAUGCCUAUGUGGACGAGCAGAUGACAAUGAAAACCAAACAGCGCAUGUUAACGGAAGACUGGGAGAUAUUUAAACAAAGGCGAUUCAUUGAAGAACAGUUAACCAAUAAGAAAGCGGUUACUGGCGAGAACAACUUCACAGAUACCAUGAGGCACAUGUUGUCAUCACGACUGAGCAUGCCUGACUGCCCCAACUGCAACUACAGGAGAAGAUGUGCUUGUGAUGACUGCAGCCUCUCACACAUCCUCACUUGUGGUAUCAUGGACACCCCCGUCACUGAUGACAUCCACAUUCACCAGCUACCACUCCAAGUGGAUUCUGCUCCCGACUAUCUCUCUGAGAUGCGCCCACCUAGCGUGUCCUCAGCAAGCUCAGGGUCAGGCUCCAGCUCUCCCAUCACAGUUCAGCAACAUCCCAGACUCAUCCUCACAGACAAUGGCUCUGCACCAACUUUUUGUAGUGAUGAUGAGGACGUUGCACCAUUGUCAGCCAAGUUUGCUGAUAUUUAUCCAUUGAGUAACUACGACGAUACCGAGGUGGUGGCCAACAUGAAUGGGAUCCACAGCGAACUGAAUGGUGGUGGGGAAAACAUGGCCCUGAAAGAUGAGUCCCCACAGGUGAGCAGCACCAGUAGUAGCUCUUCAGAAGCUGACGAUGAAGAAGUGGAUGGUGAAAGCAGUGGGGAGCCCCCAGGAGCUCCAAAGGAAGAUGGGGCCCUGGGAAACGGGAGCCCCAGGACAGAGGAAAGUAAAGUGGACACUCCACCCCCUUCUUACCCAGCCCAGCAGGCUGAACAAGCUCCGAACACUUGUGAAUGUCAUGUUUGUAAACAAGAAGCCUCUGGGCUGACAGGGUCAGCAGUGACUGCCGGAGCCCUUCCUCCUGGCCAUCAGUUCCUGAGCCCAGAGAAGCCUACACCCCCUGCACUACAUCUGUACCCCCACAUCCAUGGACAUGUGCCUCUGCACACCGUUCCACACCUGCCUCGCCCUCUCAUCCACCCGACCUUGUAUACAGCACCCCCUUUCCCACACAGUAAGGCUUUACCACCAGCACCUGUUCAGAAUCACACAAAUAAGCAUCAGGUAUUCAAUGCAUCUCUUCAAGACCAUAUUUAUCCGAGCUGUUUUGGGAAUACUCCAGAGUGGAAUAGUUCUAAAUUUAUAAGUCUUUGGGGAUCAGAAGUGAUGAAUGAUAAGAACUGGAAUCCUGGCACUUUCUUGCCAGAUACAAUUUCUGGGAGUGACAUAUUAGGGCCAGCACUCUCAGAAGCAAGCCCUGGAACCCUUCCACCUCCAUCUAGCAACGAGGCACCUGCAGUUUCGGAUAGUAAAGAGAAAAAAAGUGCUGCAAAAAAGAAAUGUUUGUACAAUUUCCAAGAUGCUUUUAUGGAAGCAAACAAAGUUGUCAUGGCCACCUCCUCCGCCACAUCCUCUGUGUCCUGCACAGCCACCACGGUGCAGUCAAGCAACAGCCAGUUCAAGGUGUCGUCCAAGAGACCCCCAUCGAUAGGUGAUGUCUUUCAUGGCCUCAACAAGGAGGACCACAGACACUCAGCACCUGCUGCCCCGAGGAACAGCCCCACAGGCCUGGCCCCGCUUCCAGCCCUCUCUCCUGCCUCGCUCUCCCCAGCCUCCACACCUCACCUUGCAAAUCUUGCAGCCCCAUCAUUCCCCAAAACUGCAACCACAGCUCCUGGGUUUGUGGACACGCGUAAGACCUUCUGCCCUGCCCCCAUGGCACCCCCGCCCACCACCACAGAUGGCUCCGUCAGCGCCCCUCCCAGUGUCUGCAGUGACCCUGACUGUGAAGGGCACCGCUGCGAGAACGGUGUCUAUGACCCACAGCAGGAUGAUGGGGACGAGAGUGCAGAGGAGGACAGCUGCUCUGAGCAUAGCUCCAGCACCUCAACAUCAACCAAUCAAAAGGAGGGCAAGUACUGUGACUGCUGCUACUGUGAGUUCUUCGGACACGGCGGGCCUCCCGCUGCUCCAACAAGUAGAAAUUAUGCAGAAAUGCGGGAAAAGCUUCGUUUGCGGCUGACCAAGAGGAAAGAAGAGCAACCUAAAAAAAUGGAUCAGAUCUCGGAACGAGAAAGUGUUGUUGACCAUCGAAGGGUAGAGGAUUUGUUACAGUUUAUAAACAGCUCAGAGACCAAGCCAGUAAGCAGUACUCGGGCAGCCAAGCGUGCGAGGCAUAAGCAGAGAAAGCUGGAGGAGAAGGCACGCCUGGAAGCUGAGGCCAGGGCACGGGAGCAUCUGCACCACCAGGAGGAGCAGAGGCGGCGGGAGGAGGAGGAGGAGGAAGAAGAGGAGGAGGAGCAUCAUUUCAAGGAAGAAUUUCAGCGGCUUCAAGAGCUUCAGAAGCUAAGAACUGUAAAGAAGAAGAAGAAGGAGAGGCCAAGUAAAGACUGUCCCAAACUGGACAUGCUUGCUAGAAACUUCCAGGCAGUGACAGAGUCUGUCCCUAACUCUGAAAAUAUUCACAAUGGCUCAGUAGAGCAAUCCGAAGAACCAGAAACCUCGUCUCUCUCCCCUUCAACACAUGUGAACCACUCAGAGCCCAGGCCAGGGCUGGGAGCUGAUGGGGAUGCUGCAGACCCUGUUGAGGCCACAGACUCCAAACUCCUCCUCCCUAGGGAGGUCAAUGGGAAGCAGCAUGAGCCAUUAGCUUUUUUCUUGGACAUGAUGCAUCACCAUAAAGAGGGAAAUGGGAAACAGAAGCUAAAGCAGACCAGUAAGGCCAGUAGCGAGCCAGCAAGGAAGCCCACAGAGCCCCCCAAAGCCACAGAGGGUCAGCCCAAGCCCCGGGCCCAGACUGAGGCAAAGGCUAAAGUGGUUGAACUCACUUCCCUCUCAGAGCAGAAAAGAGAAGAGAGAAAAGUUAACAGUAAUAACAAUAACAAAAAGCAGCUAAACCACAUCAAGGAGGAGAAGUCAAGCCCAGCCCUCCAGGAGCCCCCAUCUCCCAGCCAACAUCAGCAGAACGGGCGGCUUAUACUGGCAGAUUCUCCCCAGCCAAAGGGCAAGAACAAGAAAAGUAAGAAGAAGAAAGGAGAGCGAGCCAGCAGUUCAAUUGAUGAUGUCUUUCUGCCUAAAGAUAUCGACCUGGACAGUGUGGAUAUGGAUGAGACUGAGAGGGAAGUGGAAUAUUUUAAAAGGUUCUGCUUGGACUCCGCUAGACAGACCCGACAGAGACUAUCCAUCAACUGGUCCAACUUUAGCUUGAAAAAAGCCACUUUUGCUGCCCACUGAACAAAGACCACAUGGAGAGGGACACGCGGGAGGAGGCCAGGCUGUGCCACCUCAAGAGCUGAGCCCCUCGCCGGCCCCCCAGAGCUGCCGUGUCCACCCAGGGCAGGGCAGGGUGGGGCGCCGCAGCCUGAGACCCAGACCGAGAACUUGCUGCUCGACCCGCGUUGUAGCUCGUGUGCGUGUAGUCUGCAAUUUGCAGAACACCCACAUGGAGCUGCCACCUGGUUGCUGUCUAGUGUCCAUAUCCUCCUAGAGCACUGCGUAGCUCCCUCGUCUCCCAAUCUCUUGGCAUCUGGAGGUCAGAGGGCUGGGAGAGGCAGGCCAAGGCAGGGCUGCUGUCGUCAACAAAGCCAGGAGCUGGCUACAAAGCUCCUGCACCAAGGUGGGAGGAAGAACAACACAUCCCUUUGUUCAUAGGAUGGUUCAGCGAAGGGAGAAACAGGCUGGGCUGUGACCACGGCAGGAGAGUGCCCUUGAGAGGGCAGGGACCCUGAUGAAGUCCCUCAGGGAUACCGGCUUCAUCUCCUGGCUGAGGUGGGGGCUGAGUAGGGGCCAAGGGCUAGGGCCUGUACGCAUGUGGGAAACCCUAAAUCCUGCCUGCCCAGGCCUGUUCUCCCUGUGGACAGUCUUGAAGCUGUGCUGGGAGCCAGUCCCACCUCUGGGCCUCAACUUACUCAUCUGUCCAGUAGAGCCAUGCCAGCUGCUAAGAAGAACCACAGGGUCCCCAGCUGUGAUAUCAGGAACUGUUGGGAGCAUGAGUGGUAAAGGGAUUCCUGGGUACCCCAACAAGGACCCUCACACUGAGGCCUAGAGGUAAUUCAAAUUCCAGGUAUAGUAGUCAACUGCAGCCUCCCCUGCUCCCAUUUCACCAGCCUUCAGCCUGCCCACCAACAUCUGUUCCCCGAGCCCUCGGACUUCCUGGCCCCUGCUGUUCCUCCACCAGGAACAACUGUCCCGUUUCCCUGGAGGUCACUCACCCUUCAAGACCGUCCAUGUGGUUCUUUGGGUUUUUCUUCAAGAGGGUACUGGUCAACAGUGCUUAUCCUCAGGAACAAAACGAAAUAGAGGAUGGAACCAAUUUGAGGGGACAGAGGAGAGGGAGGAGGGCUCCUGAGGACAGUCCUUCCAUGACACAGCAUGGCCUGGUGAUCUGUCCUACCCAUUGUGCCACUUCCAUAUGAGGGACUAAGACCCAAGGUGUGUAUGCUGCCUAGGGCAGCUGCGGACAGCCCCAGUGUUGCUGUCCUCAUCAGAGCCCAGGCCUAGGGCUGUACCUGUUCUUGAUGAGAUCAGUCCCCACUGGGUAGCCUGUUGUUUUUGACUCUUCCCACAAUAUCACUAAUCGUGAAAUGAAAUAAAAUAACAAUAGCUAGAAAAGACCCUACCAGUGGAAAAAAUUUUUAUUGAACUUUUUAACUUUCAUACUCAUUCCAUUAAAACGAAACGAGCCAGGUCAGUGACACCUGAGGUCCUAGCACUCAGGAGGCUGAGGCCAAGGAUCCCUUGAGCCCAGAAAUUCAAGACCAGCCUGGCAACAUAGAUCCUGUCUCAGAAGACAAUGUCAACAACAAAAAUUAAAAUCAAAAUGAAUUUAAUGAUA